AAACGAUGACGACAGAGGUGUC
rnacentral:siRNA from 1 species